CCCGCCCCAGGCCCGCCCCUUGGCCGAGGCGGGAUCUGCCUGAAAACCCCCGCCUUGGGAAGCCCAGUGCCACUCACUGCGCGCCGCGCCCCAGCCCGCUCAGCUCUCCAUCCACUGCCUUGUGGUAAAGAUACCUGCAUCACUAUCUCAGAAUGGCCAACAGGGGACCUGCUUAUGACUGAGCCGGGAGGUACAGCAGAAAAUUGAAAGCAGUAUGAUGCUGACUUGGAGCAGAUCCUCAUUCAGUGGAUUACCACCCAGUGCCGCCGGGAUGUCGGGCGGCCCCAGCCUGGGCGAGAGAAUUUCCAAAACUGGCUCAAGGAUGGCACGGUGCUGUGUGAACUCAUCAAUGGUCUAUACCCUGAAGGCCAGGCCCAGUAAAGAAGAUCCAGGCUUCAGCAUGGCUUUCAAACAGAUGGAACAGAUUUCUCAGUUCCUGCAGCGCAGAGCGCUAUGGCAUCAAUGCCACUGAUUCUUCCAAACGUGGACCUCUGGAAGUGAAGCAAAGG
rnacentral:lncRNA from 1 species